rfam:Myotis davidii contig100453, whole genome shotgun sequence.
AUUUCCUGAGCUGGAAAGAGGCCAGGUAAAGUAGUAUAUGAUAUCCUUCUUAUUCCCAAGCAGAUGUCUGUGGUUUCUUUUUCUUUGGUCAAAUCUGCUUUGUAUUUCUUCUUGGUUAAUACACUCUGAAUGCUCCAGGCUGCUUUCUGCCUG